GGCUUGUUGGCAUAGUGGUAACGUGCUCCGUAGCAAUAUGUAACGUUUGCAUAUUUUAACGGAAGGUCCGAAGUUCGAUUCUUCGUCAAGCCU